GUAGGGGGCAAGCGUUGUCCGGAUUCAUUGGGCGUAAAGAGCGUGUAGGCGGCCAGGUAGGUCGGUUGUGAAAACUGGAGGCUCAACCUUCAGAGGUCGACCGAAACCAUCUGGCUAGAGUCCGGGAGAGGAGAGUGGAAUUCCUGGUGUAGCGGUGAAAUGCGCAGAUAUCAGGAAGAACACCCGUGGCGAAAGCGGCUCUCUGGAACGGUACUGACGCUGAGACGCGAAAGCGUGGGGAGCGAACAGGAUUAGAUACCCUGGUAGUCCACGCCGUAAACGAUGGAUGCUAGUCGUCGCGGGUAUUGACCCCUGCGGCAACGCAGUUAACGCAUUAAGCAUCCCGCCUGGGGAGUACGGCCGCAAGGCUA
rnacentral:rRNA from 1 species